UCCUGCUCCUUUCCCAGGGUUCCCAAUCCUCUCCUCAGACAGGAGGGGCAGGUUGGGGCCCCUCCAGAAUCUGCCGGUCCACAGUCUGGACUGAACAGAAUUUAGUAUCUGACCUGCAGGGGCUGCGGGGGAGGAUGUGUCCCUGAUGAAUAUCACCAAGUGUUUUAGGAUCAUUGGGGCCUUUUGGGAGUCUCCCCCUUGGUCUGGGUCUCCCUUCAGGGAAAGAAACCUCGAAGAAAGAUUUCUUGCACAUGGGUACGUUUCACACGCAGCAACCGGCACCCCCACCCCGCCCCGUGCUGCAGAGCACACACAGCUCCUCUCACACACUCACCAUCCAGCUGCACACUGCGUCUCCAUGGCAACCAGUAGGCCUGGUCCACGGAUGUUAGAAAUAAGUGCCAGAGGAAGAGAAGAGAGAGAGGGAGAGACAGAGGAGAAACAUCAGAAAUAAAGAGACUCAGAAAGACAGCCUCCCAAGGAGGACCCCACUCUUUCCUUGCACCACCACCACCACCCCCCCACCCCCCCCCCCCGCCAGAGACUCUUGAAUGGACUCAAGGCCUGAGGAUGGAGGGGCUCAAGACGGGGACUAAGCAGUGGGCUGGGGGCUGUCUGGAAACAGGAGAGACCUCGCUGGAGUCUGUGGAGCUUAGCUUCUGAAGCUGGACUGUCUGGACUGCCUUGAACAAGUCACUUAACCUCUCUGAGCAUCAGUUUCUUAGCUAUGAAAUGGGGAUAAUAAAUCCUAAAUUUUUUGUGUGGAUUUAAGGCGAUGGUGCAUGUAACCAGCUUAGUCCAAUAAAUUGUAAGCGCUCAAUAAAUGCAACUUUUCUCAUCA